rnacentral:rRNA from 1 species
UUCGUGAGUACUGUAUUGGUUUAGAAUUUAUUAUUAAUGGUUUAUUGUACCUUUUGUAUCAUGAUCUUUUGAGGUUUAAUGCAUUAUUGUGUGUCCCGAAAAGUUUACGAUUUUAUUUAGUCCAAGCAACUAGCUGAGUUAAUUGGUUAGAGGGGUUACAGGUUAUUAAGAAAAUAUCUCAAGAGGCUAUAUAAGUAGUGAUAAAUUAUUCGUGUAAUUUUAUAUCUGGUUGGUAACUUAUUUAUCGAAUUGUGUGAGAGGUUGAUUGUGUUGAUCUUUUAGAACAGAGAUUUUGUGCUGUUAUGUGUUGGUUGUCUUAGAUUAAAAUUGUCUUUGGAUUAUGAAGUUAUUUACAUAGCUUUAUUUUGGUACUGAGUUAGUCUUGUUUUGUUUAGUGGUUACUGUUAGAAUUGGUUGUGAGAUAAUGAAAGAAUAAGUAGGUUGAUAUUGAUUGUCGUAGUAGUUAUUUUUAUUCUCGGUGAUUGCUUUCGACUGUUUACUAAAAACAUUUCUAUUUUGGUAGAUUUAAAUAGUAUGACCUGCCCAAUGAAACUUAACAUGAAUGGCCGCGGCAUUAGCCGUGCUAAGGUAGCAUAAUAUAUAGUUUUUUAAUUGGAGACUUGUGAAUGGUUGAACGAAAGGUGUCUAAAAUGGUAACUGUAUCUGAAUUUAGUUGAGCGGUGAGGAACCCGUUGUUAUAGUAUAGGACGGAAAGACCCCAAGAGUUUUACUAUUUGUUAAGUUUUAUUUGGGGUAAAUGUGUAUAAUUCAUUUAUUUUUAGAUCCUAUUGGAUAGAGGAUAAAAUUACCUUGGGGAUAACUGAGUAAAGGACGGUGAGAGGUCGUAUUAAGCUGUCUGUUACUACCUCGAUGUUGGCUUGAAGUACCUACUUGGUGUAGAGGCUAAGUUUAGGAAGUCUGUUCGACUUUUAAAUCUUUAUGAGCUGAGUUAAGACCGGUGUAAGCCAGGUUGGUUCUUAUCUAUAUGUGAUUCUGGCUAGUACGAAAGGAGUGUUGGAAUAUAGGGUUGUAUAGGAUUAAAUCUUUUGAUUUUAUAAGUGUGCGUGUAA